CCGUUUAGAAGCAAACGGGUGGAGCUGCCAUUACCUCUGCCGAAUUCAGCCAGUCGGUGACGGAUAGCCUGCUUGUGAUCGCAAGACAUGAGCACGGUGUUUCCUACCUGCCACCGGCUGGUGUAUUUUCGGUAGAUGUGCGCUACGACCAACUGGGAAGUCAACUAAAGGUCAUUUGAGUGCCGACUGCGGGCUUGCUCGCAGUGUUCCAUCAUUUGAACCUGUUCGAUUUUCCCGGUUGAGUAAACGACCGCGCCCGCUUGUUCUCGGGCUGCUUGCCUUGGGGUCGCUUCUGCGUCUGGUUGUGCUCGCACGACUGGGCGUGCCCCGGUUCUAAAGGCAAGUAGUACUGAGUUGGCGCAUAUGGUCUGUAGCGUCCGAGUCAGCGUCCCACCCGACCCGUCUUGAAACACGGACCAAGGAGUCUAACAUGUGCGCAAGUCAUUGGGUGUAAAACCUAAAGGCGCAAUGAAAGUGAAAGUUAGCUUACGCUAGCUUAGGUGGGAUCCUUGGCUUGUCCAGGGCGCACCACCGUCCCAUCGCAUCUGCUCGUCAGAGCGGUGGAGAAAGAGCGCACACGUUGGGACCCGAAAGAUGGUGAACUAUGCCUGAGCAGGAUGAAGCCAGAGGAAACUCUGGUGGAGGUCCGUAGCGGUUCUGACGUGCAAAUCGAUCGUCAGACUUGGGUAUAGGGGCGAAAGACUAAUCGAACCAUCU
rnacentral:rRNA from 1 species